GCCAGUCGAGGGGCAGCGCGAUGUAGCGAUACAUUGGCGGCGACCGGCGCACGGGUGCGUAACACGUAUGGAACCUGCCCUGUACUGGGAGAUAACCCGGAGAAAUCCGGACUAAUAUCCCAUAACAACCGAGGUGGCAUCACCUUGGCUUGAAAGCUCCGGCGGUACAGGAUGGCCAUGCGCCCGAUUAGCUAGUUGGUGAGGUAACGGCUCACCAAGGCUACGAUCGGUAGGGGGCCUGAGAGGGUUAUCCCCCACACUGGUACUGAGACACGGACCAGACUCCUACGGGAGGCAGCAGUGAGGAAUAUUGCGCAAUGGAGGCAACUCUGACGCAGCCAUGCCGCGUGCAGGAAGAAGGCGCUACGCGUUGUAAACUGCUUUUAAUCGGGAAGAAACCCCGGGACGUGUCCCGGGUUGACGGUACCGAUGGAAUAAGCACCGGCUAACUUCGUGCCAGCAGCCGCGGUAAUACGAAGGGUGCAAGCGUUAUCCGGAUUCAUUGGGUUUAAAGGGUGCGUAGGCGGGACAGCAAGUCAGCGAUGAAAUCCCGUGGCUCAACCACGGAAUUGCCGUUGAUACUGCUGUUCUUGAGUACGUUUGACGUGGGCGGAAUGUGCCGUGUAGCGGUGAAAUGCUUAGAUAUGGCACAGAACACCGAUAGUGAAGACAGCUCACGAAGACGAAACUGACGCUGAGGCACGAAAGCGUGGGGAUCAAACAGGAUUUAGAUACCCUGGUAGUCCACGCCGUAAACGAUGAUCACUCGUGAUCGGCCGAUAUACUGUCGGUCACCU
rnacentral:rRNA from 1 species